UUAAGGACUGAUGAGGACUAAUAGAUGUUUUACCCCGUUAAGAAAGCGAAUGGUUGCUGUGAAUUCGCCGGGAAAGACGUCGAACUCGUCUCGGAGUUUUUUUAACUGAAUCAAAGUAAGUUAAAACGCGAAUGCCGCGUUAUGGCAUAACAAAGCGCCCGUACUGUACGGGAAUGUUAGGUGGUACCGCGGAUAUUCCGUCCUACAA
rnacentral:ncRNA from 1 species